rnacentral:lncRNA from 1 species
CUCUCGAUCUGAUUUAUUUACUCCAUAAGUAGAGACCCUCUUCAUUUAUAGAUGAUUCCUAUGACCUAAUAAGGAUAGGAGUUCUAACUCAAAUCUGAUUUGAAUCAGUUCAAUACUCGUGAAAGAAAGAUUCCUACAUGAGAUAGAAUUGCCAUCACAUAUGACAACCAAUUUGCAUCCACUCCCUCACCCACAUGGGAUGC